rnacentral:rRNA from 1 species
UACAGAGGUGCCAAGCGUUAGGCGGAAUCACUGGGCGUAAAGCGCACGUAGGCGGAUUGCUAAGUCAGGGGUGAAAUCCUGGAGCUCAACUCCAGAACUGCCUUUGAUACUGGCGAUCUCGAGUCCGGGAGAGGUGAGUGGAACUGCGAGUGUAGAGGUGAAAUUCGUAGAUAUUCGGAAGAACACCAGUGGCGAAGGCGGCUCACUGGACUGGUAUUGACGCUGAGGCACGAAGGCCAGGGGAGCAAACGGG